AUCAUGCUUAAAAGCUGAUGAAAUUUUCUAACUCUACCAUUAUGAAAAAGAAUUAGGAUCUUUGGAUUGUUUCUUCACAAACAGCAUUUUCUGGUUUGACAUGAUCAAGAUCAUUAAACAAAACUGUACUGGAGACUCAUUUGCAGAAAUUAAUAACGUGUGUGAGAGCAUGGCUGCUAGUCACCUAUUAGGAGGAUACCAAAUCUGUGUUGUCCAGGUGUGGAGAAGAGAGUAAGAAGAGGGAAAAAAUGACGUGCUCUGGUGAAGGGAUGAAAAUGAAGACUUCUGAGAUAAGUUUCAUCAUACUGCUUUUCUGCAAGUUUCACUUUUCAUGUUCUUGAUGAGAACUCUUUAUUUCAAUAUGAGUAUUUAGGAUUAAUAAAAC
rnacentral:lncRNA from 1 species